rnacentral:tRNA from 1 species
UGCGAGGUAGACUGGAGGUGGCACCCAGCACUGUCUCAUAAGCAGUUCUACGAGGGUUCGAGUCCCUCCCUCGCAA